GGUUCAUAUUGAGGAAAAACUACAGAAAUUUUGCAUGGUUAUACGCACAACGUGCUGGAGGAACUCUGCUGGUCAGGCAGCAUCUAUGGAAAAGAUCGGCUCACUCAUUUGGGAAGAUUGUUGGAGAUGAAGCGUUUUUGAGAACUUUGCUGCCUUGGGUCUUCACAAUUUAAAAAUUUCAAAGCGAUAGGUUCUCAAUCAAGUUAUGUGCAAAUUAUUCUCCGUAACUUCCGCCACCUCCAGCGGGAUCCCACCACGAAGCAAACAUUUUUCCCUCCCCCUCUCUCUCUGCAUUCCGCAGGGAUCGCUCCCUACCUGACUCCCUUGUCCAUUCGUCCCCCCCAUCCCUCCCCACUGAUCUCCCUCCUGGCACUUAUCCGUGUAAGCGGAACAAGUGCUACACAUGUCCUUACACUUCCUCCCUUACCACCAUUCAGGUCCCCAAACAGUCCUUCCAGGUGAGGCAACACUUCAACUGUGAGUCGACUGCGGUGAUAUACUGCGUCUGGUG